AGAAGUUAGCUCAAUGGUAGAGUGCUUGCCUUGCAUGCAUGAAGUCCUGGGUUCAAUUCCUUAGAACUACUA
rfam:Dipodomys ordii contig_12642, whole genome shotgun sequence.